GAUUGAACAUUGGUCCAAAGAGAAAGGAAAUGUAACAAACAAAUCAAGAGAUUCUUGGCUUCAUUCCAACCAACUUUUAUUCAAACAUGUCAGAGUCUUCUAAAACAUCCUUAUAUUUGCUUCUAUCCAAUGCUUAUGAUUGAGCAACAAUUCCCACAUCAGCCUCAUACUGUAAGAAAUGGGCUGCUUAAUCUACAGAGUGCUCGUCGUUGCACUCUUUUGCGUUGCGUUUCUGUCAAUCGGGCUGGAGACUGUCGCGGGGCUGAGAAGCAAAGAUCUUGCUCUAAGAAGGAGGAUUCUGAAUGGUGAUGAUGCCUUGCUAGACAGGAGUAGUGCGCAACUGGAUAUCGCGCCUUCCCCUUCAACCGUGUUUGAUCCUAACGAGUUUCAAAAGAGACACGUUCGCCGUGGACCAGACCCCAUUCACAACAAAUGCUGAUCCAUCUGGAAGAUUUUUAAAUAUAGGUUUGUUUUUGUUUUGAUUGUUUUGUUUGUGUUACAUCAAUUAGGCUAGAAGGAGCAAGCAAAGUAUAGUUUAGACUCUUAACACUUUAGCUUUCAAUGUUUUGUUUAUGAAUCUAGUUAACAUGUAAA